rnacentral:rRNA from 1 species
CUGGCUCAGGAUGAACGCUGGCGGCGUGCUUAACACAUGCAAGUCGAACGAAGCACUUCUACGAUCCCUCGGGGUGACGAGUUAGUGACUGAGUGGCGGACGGGUGAGUAACGCGUGGGUAACCUGCCUUAUACAGGGGGAUAACAGUUGGAAACGGCUGCUAAUACCGCAUAAGCGCACAGUACCGCAUGGUACAGUGUGAAAAACUCCGGUGGUAUAAGAUGGACCCGCGUCUGAUUAGCUAGUUGGUGAGGUAACGGCCCACCAAGGCGACGAUCAGUAGCCGAUCUGAGAGGAUGAACGGCCACAUUGGGACUGAGACACGGCCCAGACUCCUACGGGAGGCAGCAGUGGGGAAUAUUGCACAAUGGGCGAAAGCCUGAUGCAGCCGACGCCGCGUGAGUGAUGAAGUAUUUCGGUAUGUAAAGCUCUAUCAGCAGGGAAGAUAAUGACGGUACCUGACUAAGAAGCACCGGCUAAAUACGUGCCAGCCGCGGC